rnacentral:rRNA from 1 species
UACGAAGGGGGCUAGCGUUGCUCGGAAUCACUGGGCGUAAAGGGUGCGUAGGCGGGUCUUUAAGUCAGGGGUGAAAUCCUGGAGCUCAACUCCAGAACUGCCCUUGAUACUGGCGGUAUCGUAGUCCGGGAGAGGUGAGUGGAACUGCGAGUGUAGAGGUGAAAUUCGUAGAUAUUCGCAAGAACACCAGUGGCGAAGGC